rnacentral:rRNA from 1 species
UACGUAGGUGGCAAGCGUUGUCCGGAUUUACUGGGCGUAAAGAGCGCGCAGGCGGUCGUGCAAGUCGCGUGUGAAAGCCCCCCGGCUCAACUGGGGAGGGUCACGCGAUACUGUUCGACUCGAAGGCAGGAGAGGGAAGCGGAAUUCCCGGUGUAGUGGUGAAAUGCGUAGAUAUCGGGAGAACACCAGUGGCGAAGGCGGCUCCUGGCCUGUUCUUGACGCUGAGGCGCGAAAGCUAGGGGAGCGGAACGGGG